ACACCCCUUGUUCAUCAUGCUCUGCGCACCCUGAUGUCUCUAGAGAGCCAUUCAUUCAACAGAUCCCUGCAGAGCAGCGCCUGUAUCGAACCUUUUCCCUAGCCCUGGCCUCGUCACACAUUUUAUGUGCGCUUGCUGUGAGCAGUCCACAGUCUUUGGCGCGCACAGGGGCACAGGCUGUUCCGGAAGCCGCCAGUCUCCAAAGUUCUGGCGGGAGAGAAGGGAGGGGAGAGGGUGAGUCUCAAGCCGCUAGGGAGCGGCGCUGCCCCAGGGCCGAGGGUGGAGCUUUCUGGGUCGGCCGGGAAAGGGCUGGGCUCAGCCUACAAGUGAAGGCAGGACAGCGUUGGCGGGCGCUCCCUUGAGAAGUCCAGGUGGCGAGCACCUCCGGGCCGAUUCCCAGGAUCCCCCAAGUGGCUCUGAGCUGCCGAUCACCGGAUGCCCCAGAUUCCUGGAACCCAAUCCCGGAUUUCAGAACGUCAGGACCUUGCAAGUCCGAGCUAGGAUUUCUCCCUGGACUUUAGAUUCCUGGAACUGGACGUCAGGCCGGAUUCCGGGCCCCUAGAUCCCGUGGGAGAUUCUCCGAUUCCGAACGGAGUCCAGAUUCCAAGAUUCCUGAUCUGCCGGCCCAGGCUCCUGCCCCUCCCCAGGUUCCCAGUGCGCGGCGCCCCGCGCCUGAGCGCCCCCGCAUGGCGGGGCCGUGUCCCCGGUCCGGGGCGGAGCGCGCCGGCAGCUGCUGGCAGGACCCGCUGGCCGUGGCGCUGAGCCGGAGCCGGCCGCUCGCGGCGCCCCCGGGCCGGGGCUGCGCGCGGAGCCGGCCGCUCAGCGUGGUGUACGUGCUGACCCGGGAGCCGCAGCCCGGGCUGGAGCCUCGGGAGGGAACCGAGGCGGAGCCGCUGCCUCUGCGCUGCCUGCGCGAGGCUUGCGCGCAGGUCCCCCGGCCGCGGCCGCCCCCGCAGCUGCGCAGCCUGCCCUUCGGGACGCUGGAGCUAGGCGACACCGCGGCGCUGGAUGCCUUCUACAACGCGGACGUGGUGGUGCUGGAGGUGAGCAGCUCGCUGGUACAGCCCUCCCUGUUCUACCACCUUGGCGUGCGUGAGAGCUUCAGCAUGACCAACAACGUGCUCCUCUGCUCCCAGGCCGACCUGCCUGACCUGCAGGCCCUGCGGGAGGAUGUUUUCCAGAAGAACUCGGAUUGCGUUGGCAGCUACACACUGAUCCCCUAUGUGGUGACGGCCACUGGUCGGGUGCUGUGUGGUGAUGCAGGCCUUCUGCGGGGCCUGGCUGAUGGGCUGGUACAGGCCGGAGUGGGGUCCGAGGCCCUGCUCACUCCCCUGGUGGGCCGGCUUGCCCGCCUGCUGGAGGCCACACCCACGGACUCUUGUGGCUAUUUCCGGGAGACCAUUCGGCGGGACAUCCGGCAGGCGCGGGAGCGGUUCAGUGGGCCACGGCUGCGGCAGGAGCUGGCUCGUCUGCAGCGGAGACUGGACAGCGUGGAGCUGCUGAGCCCCGACAUCAUCAUGAACUUGCUGCUCUCCUACCGUGACGUGCAGGACUACUCAGCCAUCAUCGAGCUGGUGGAGACGCUGCAGGCCUUGCCCACCUGCGAUGUGGCCGAGCAGCAUAAUGUGUGCUUCCACUACACUUUUGCCCUCAACCGGAGGAACAGGCCUGGGGACCGGGCGAAGGCCCUGGCCGUGCUGCUGCCGCUGGUACAGCUUGAGGGCUCUGUGGCGCCCGAUCUGUACUGCAUGUGUGGCCGUAUCUACAAGGACAUGUUCUUCGGCUCGGGUUUCCAGGAUGCUGGGCACCGGGAGCAGGCCUAUCACUGGUAUCGCAAGGCUUUUGACGUAGAGCCCAGCCUCCACUCAGGCAUCAACGCAGCUGUGCUCCUCAUUGCUGCCGGGCAGCGCUUUGAGGAUUCCAAGGAGCUCCGGCUAAUAGGCAUGAAGCUGGGCUGCCUGCUGGCCCGCAAAGGCUGCGUGGAGAAGAUGCAGUAUUACUGGGAUGUGGGUUUCUACCUGGGAGCCCAGAUCCUCGCCAAUGACCCCACCCAGGUGGUGCUGGCUGCAGAGCAGCUGUAUAAGCUCAAUGCCCCCAUAUGGUACCUGGUGUCCGUGAUGGAGACCUUCCUGCUCUACCAGCACUUCAGGCCCACGCCAGAGCCCCCUGGAGGGCCACCACGCCGUGCCCACUUCUGGCUCCACUUCUUGCUACAGUCCUGCCAACCAUUCAAGACGGCCUGUCCCCAGGGCGACCAGUGCUUGGUGCUGGUCCUGGAGAUGAACAAGGUGCUGCUGCCUGCAAAGCUCGAGGUUCGGGGUACUGACCCAGUAAGCACAGUGACCCUGAGCCUGCUGGAGCCUGAGACCCAGGACAUUCCCUCUAGCUGGACCUUCCCAGUCGCCUCCAUAUGCGGAGUCAGCGCCUCCAAGCGCGACGAGCGCUGCUGCUUCCUCUAUGCACUCCCCCCGGCUCAGGACGUCCAGCUGUGCUUCCCCAGCGUAGGGCACUGCCAGUGGUUCUGCGGCCUGAUCCAGGCCUGGGUGACGAACCCGGAUUCCACGGCGCCCGCGGAGGAAGCGGAGGGCGCGGGGGAGAUGUUAGAGUUUGAUUAUGAGUACACGGAGACGGGCGAGCGGCUGGUGCUGGGCAAGGGCACGUAUGGGGUGGUGUACGCGGGUCGCGAUCGCCACACGAGGGUGCGCAUCGCCAUCAAGGAGAUCCCGGAGCGGGACAGCAGGUUCUCUCAGCCCCUGCAUGAAGAGAUCGCUCUUCACAAACGCCUGCGCCACAAGAACAUAGUACGCUAUCUGGGCUCAGCUAGCCAGGGCGGCUACCUUAAGAUCUUCAUGGAGGAAGUGCCUGGAGGCAGCCUGUCCUCCUUGCUGCGGUCAGUGUGGGGACCCCUGAAGGACAACGAGAGCACCAUCAGUUUCUACACCCGCCAGAUCCUGCAGGGACUUGGCUACUUGCACGACAACCACAUCGUGCACAGGGACAUCAAGGGGGACAAUGUGCUGAUCAACACCUUCAGUGGGCUGCUCAAGAUUUCUGACUUCGGCACCUCCAAGCGGCUGGCAGGCCUCACACCUUGCACUGAGACCUUCACAGGAACUCUGCAGUAUAUGGCCCCAGAAAUCAUUGACCAGGGCCCACGUGGGUAUGGGAAAGCAGCUGACAUCUGGUCACUGGGCUGCACUGUCAUUGAGAUGGCCACAGGUCGCCCCCCCUUCCAUGAGCUAGGGAGUCCACAGGCUGCCAUGUUUCAGGUGGGUAUGUACAAGGUCCAUCCGCCAAUGCCCGGCUCUCUGUCGGCCGAGGCCCAAGCCUUUCUCCUCCGAACUUUUGAGCCAGACCCCCGCCUCCGAGCCAGCGCCCAGACACUGCUGGGGGACCCCUUCCUGCAGCCUGGGAAAAGGAGCCGCAGCCCCAGCUCCCCACAACAUGCUCCACGGCCCUCAGAUGCCCCUUCUGCCAGUCCCACUCCUUCAGCCAACUCAACCAUCCAGUCUCAGACAUUCCCGUGCCCUCAGGCACCCUCUCAGCACCCGCCCAGCCCCCCGAAGCGCUGCCUCAGUUAUGGGGGCACCAGCCAGCUCCGGGUGCCCGAGGAGCCUGCGGCCGAGGAGCCUACGUCUCCGGAGGAGAGCUCGGGGCUGAGCCUGCUGCACCAGGAGAGCAAGCGUCGGGCCAUGCUGGCGGCGGUAUUGGAGCAGGAACUGCCAGCGCUGGCGGCGAAUCUGCACCAGGAGCAGGGGGCCCGUCUGGCCAGAAACCAUGUGGAAGAGCUGCUGCGCUGCCUCAGGGCCCACAUCCACACUCCCAACCGCCGGCAGCUGGCCCAGGAGCUGCGGGCUCUGCAAGGACGGCUGAGGGCCCAGGGCCUUGGGCCUGCACUCCUGCACAGACCGCUGUUUGCCUUCCCGGAUGCGGUGAAGCAGAUCCUCCGCAGGCGCCAGAUCCGUCCACACUGGAUGUUCGUCCUGGACUCACUGCUCAGCCGUGCUGUGCGGGCAGCCCUGGCUGUGCUAGGCCCGGAGGUGGAGAAGGAGGCGGUCUCACCGAGGUCAGAGGAGCUGAGUAAAGAAGGGGACUCCCAGCAGAGCCCAGGCCAGCAGAGCCUGCUUCCAGUGGAGCCCGAGCAGGGCCCCGCUCCUCUGAUGGUGCAGCUGAGCCUCUUGAGGGCAGAGACUGAUCGGCUGCGCGAAGUCCUGGCAGGGAAGGAACGGGAGUACCAGGCCCUGGUGCAGCGGGCUCUACAGCGGCUGAAUGAGGAAGCCCGGACCGAUGCCCUGGCCCCAGAGCCUCCAACUGCUUCUUGACAGCUGACCAGGGCCUGGUGCAGUGGCUACAGGAACUGAAUGUGGAUUCAGGCACCAUCCAAAUGCUGUUGAACCAUAGCUUCACCCUCCACACCCUGCUCACCUAUGCCACUCGAGAUGACCUUAUCUACACCCGCAUCAGGUACAUCCUGGGCCCCCCAAGUGUGAACCAUGCAUAUGGCCUCAUCCUGGCCAACUGCAGGCCUGCCUAGGUUCCUUCCGGGAAACCAAAGGGGCACCUGGGUCCCCUAGGGACAGAGGGGGCACUGGGCAGACAGUGGGUGCAAGAGAGAGUCCAGGGCCACCUUCUGGCUGAGCCACACCGAGUCCAUUACCCCCAGGGGAGGGAUGGUAUGCCGCAUCUGGAGGGCCAUCUUGGCACAGCGAACAGGAUCCACACCUGUCACCCCUGGACUCCGAGAGGCUGAAUGAGGGCAUCAGAGGCCAGACAGACCCAAGGAUGGAUGAAUAGAGAGGACAAAGGCAGCUUCUGACACACCAGCCCCAGGACCUGGGGUGACUGGAGGAAGCCAGGCGAGUGGGGGCCAGGACUGGUUCCAGUGAGAGAAACCAACCACAGGCACCCAAGCACUACCAGACAAAGCGUAUUAAACAGAACACUUUUGAACCUU